AUUGAACGCUAGCGGCAGGCCUAAUACAUGCAAGUCGAACGGUGUAGCAAUACACAGUGGCGCACGGGUGCGUAACACGUAUGCAACCUACCUUACAUUGGGGGAUAGCCUUUCGAAAGGGAGAUUAAUACCGCAUAAGACAGUAACUAGGCAUCUAGUAGCUGUUAAAGAUUUAUCGAUGUAAGCUGGGCAUGCGUCCAAUUAGUUAGUUGGCGAGGUAAUGGCUCACCAAGACGAUGAUUGGUAGGGGAACUGAGAGGUCAAUCCCCCACACUGGCACUGAGAUACGGGCCAGACUCCUACGGGAGGCAGCAGUAGGGAAUAUUGGGCAAUGGGCGCAAGCCUGACCCAGCCAUGCCGCGUGCAGGAAGAAGGCGUUAUGCGUUGUAAACUGCUUUUAUACAGGAAGAAACGACCCUUGCGAGGGGCAUUGACGGUACUGUAUGAAUAAGCACCGGCUAACUCCGUGCCAGCAGCCGCCGCCGUAA
rnacentral:rRNA from 1 species